UAAAUAAAAGUAUUUGUACUAAGCACAUUUUUUAUUACUUUUAUUAGUACAAUAAAAUAUUUGCGGAUUCAUAAAACUACAAAAAAUAACUUAUAAACUUAUAAAAUUAACAGUUAUUUAAAUUUAAGUGCAAAUUUAAAUUUACAUCAACUGAUUUAUUGCUCAGAGUCACACAGCGAGCGUUGGAGCUAUGUUAGGAGUAUCUCUGCGUGAUCGAAUCAGAAAUGAGGAGAUCCGCAGAAGAACUAAAGUCACCGACAUAGCUCAACGGGUUGCGAAGCUGAAGUAGCAAUAGGCGAGGCACAUAGUUCACGACCCCGCACUAGUAAGCGCAGCGAUGGCCGACCCCCCACCAGGUGGACUGACGACAUCAAGCGAGUCUCAGGGAUUCGCUGGAUGAUUUAUUGUGGAUUUCUUUUUCUUUUUUUAAUCCUCAUUUAUAGCUAAAUGAAUGACUCUCUGUAUUGAUGCCAACAAUAUCUACUUCUAUAACAACUUCAACAACUAUAAUUACUUAUUGUUUAUUAAAAUUUGUGAAAAGCAAUAUUAUGAAAAGAACAACACAUUUUGUUUCUAAUGUACUCAUAUAUGUUUAUCUUUAUCGCAGUAAAUCCAGUGAACAACGCCAAAUCGUCAAGUAGAUCAAAUCCAACAACGAAUCAGUACGUGCGAGGAGAGUUCACUGAUUAUGGCUUUGAUUCGUACCCAUAUUAUUGGUAAUGCAAUAAAUAUUUACUUCAUUAAUUUCAUUUAUAAAAAAAAUAAAAAGAAAAAAAAAAUUAAGAGUACAUGGUUUGCUGUAAUCACGCUCCAACUGCCAACAGCCUUACAUCACAUCUGAUUAAAGUUGUAAAACUGAUUGCAGAUAAAAUUGGAACAAAAAAAACCAUGUCAUUUAUAUCAUAGUGGCGGACGUCCGCGACUUCGUCCUCCUUGAACUCAGUUUUUCACAAAUCCCGCGGGAACCAUGGAUUUUCCGGGUUAUAUAAAUAGGAAAAAACUGAAUUUCACGUGGAAGAUUUGCGGACGUCCGUUAGUUUAAAAUUUGAAGGUUAAUCAAAUUUUGUUUAAUUCACAGGUAACCAACCCUUCAAGUUAAAUUGACUCAACGAACAUGAAAUAAACUAUGUUUAGUUGUAUAAUAUCUUUGUUUUUUCUUACAACACCCUAAAACCAAAGCUAUGACUUUAGUUAGCCCUAAAGUGGGCACGCGAUAAUCAUUUUCACUCAAUAAAAAGUUAUGCUUGGUUUUACAUUAAAAUGAACGAGAAAACAAUCAAUCUUACCCUGUUUUUCUACCUUUAGGAUUGGAAUUGUUUUUUCAAAGUUAUAUGGAACCUACGUCAAAAUAUACCCUUUACAAUCAAUAAAGAAUUAUCUAAAUCGGACUACUUCGUAACAAGUUAUGCAUAGUUUUAAAAUACAAUUAAUGGGAAAACAAUCAGUCAUCUUCUAUUUUCCUUCCCUUAGGGUUAAAAUUGUUUUUUAAAAUUUAUAUGGGACUAUUGCCGAAAUAUACCCUUUUUAGUUAAAACAGAGUUAUUAAAAUCGGACUACUUGAUAAAAAGUUAUGCUCGGUUUAACAUUAAAAUUAAUGGGUAAGCAAUCAAUACCUUGUUUUCGUACUCCUAGAGUUGAAAUUGUUUUUUUAAAUUUAUACGGAAUAUACCUUUUUCAUUAAAAAAAAAAUUAUUAAAAUCGGACAGCUCAAUAAAAAGUUAUAUUUGGUUUCAUAUUACGAAAUCAGGGGAUGAUUAAUUGUUUACUUAUUAAUUUUAGUGUAAAACCAAGUAAAACUUUUUAUCGAGUGGCCCGAUUUUGAUAAUUCUUUUUUAAUUAUAAAGGGUAUAUUCCGAAGAUAGUCUUAUAUAAAUAUGAAAAAACAAUUCGAACCCUAAAGCUAGGAAAACAGCAGAUGACUGAUUGAUUGGACCAUUGUAACCACCUUCAAAGUGAUCAAUAGAUAGAAAAUAUUAUAAUAUUUUCUUUCGCUUAUUAGUGUUCUGCAUACGUUUGUAUUUUUAAAGUCGGUAGUAUUUUUAAAUUAUUUAUUAUAUAAAUAGCAUAGAUAUUUUUUAAAUAAUAAAUCAUUUCGUCCCCGCACCAAAACAUUUCUGAUUUUAAAUAAUAUAAAAAAACAAGACUUUUGAAAAAAAAUAUCAUCGAAAUCGGAGCUGUUUCUGAGGACUUCCUGCAUAUGUUUGUUUUAUGUAUUCUUUGACUCCCCUACAUUGAUAUCCCUAGAAGUCGUAGAAAGGUAUUUGCUUCUACGUUUCAUAUACCUACGCAUGGCUAGGGUAUGGCUCUCCCGAAGUCAGUGUUUCCUAAUUCUUCCAACCAAGGCAUCUUAAGGAAGAGAGUGAAUAGGCAAGCGCAUUCCACCUUAGGCCACAUCUACACUUACGAUCAGGUGAAAUCGUGGUCAAGUGCGAGCUUAUACCAUAUAUAAAUGUUAAAUAUUUUAUACUUAUAUAUAGUUAAAAAUAUUAAUAAAUAAAUAAUGUAAUGAUAAAUUUAUUAAAUCUGCCUAAAAGAACUAUGGUUUGUUACAAAUCUUUAAGGCAAAGUUAGCGGACGAAUGUUUUUUAGAAUAUUGCGAUAUGGGUAUCAAAUUCAAGGACUCAUCAAGUGGAUUUCAAAAUGGUAUAUUAUGGUCAUAUUAAAAAAUCCUACAAUUAGUAAAACGUUAUUUAUUACUCGCUGUACGAAAUACGCGAGGCGGAUAACUAGGUAGGUUAAGCAGUUGGGUUAUUUACUUUUUUAAUUUUUUUUAGCUUUCUUAUUAGCUGUAACACCUGACGUUUCAAAAGUGCUGGUAAACUAAGUCUAAUUGAAAUAAAUGAACAGUGCUGAUUCGGUCGGGAGCAUAUUAUAGACAAAAUUAAAAAAGUUUUUAGGGUUUUUCGCCAAAAAUUAUUCAUUUUCAUUUCAGUAGGUAGGUACUUACAUUUUAUUUUGUUAUGUGCAAUAUUUAAAACAAAAACCCGAAUGUUUUUAAAUUAAAAAUAUUAUUACAAUUUACCAAUAAAAAUUUACUGCUACACGACUUAGAAAUUAAUAAUUUUUUACGAGUUUUAGAAAUAAUUUCGUUUUAAAUAUAUAUUUUCAAAGCAACCAACGUUAUUUUGUUCGAUGGUGGCAUACAAAAUGAGCAAAACAAUUGUAUCAAAAUAUUUUUUUGUUGCGUUGUAUGUAAUAUCCGUUAUUAUGGGAACAGUGACGCCUAAUGUAAUAUUAAAUCCGCCAUGUAAUACAGGUUGUCAGCAGCCUCAACUAGUUAGCUCGAUCGGACUGACUCCUGAGGCCAUUCCUCUAGGUACCGUCGAAGGUCCCAUUGGAACCGCGUUCGAUACCGUCGUGACAACUCUUUGUGAUUUCGUCGGUUGUUGAAUCAAUGCAUGAGGGCCGAGCUUGCAGGAAUAAUUUUCAUUGUAUUUAA